GCGUCGGGAGGCUAUACAUGCAGUCGAGGGGUUAGUAAUAACACCGGCGCACGGGUGCGUAACACGUAUGCAACCUACCUUAUACUGGGGGAUAGCCUUUGGAAACGGAGAUUAAUACCCCAUAGUAUUAGAUAAUGGCAUCAUUAUUUAAUUAAAGAUUUAUUGGUAUAAGAUGGGCAUGCGUCCAAUUAGUUAGUUGGCGAGGUAAUGGCUCACCAAGACGAUGAUUGGUAGGGGAACUGAGAGGUUAAUCCCCCACACUGGCACUGAGAUACGGGCCAGACUCCUACGGGAGGCAGCAGUAGGGAAUAUUGGGCAAUGGAGGCAACUCUGACCCAGCCAUGCCGCGUGCAGGAAGACGGCGUUCUGCGUUGUAAACUGCUUUUAUAUAGGAAGAAAUAGUUUUUGCGAAAACAGUUGACGGUACUAUAUGAAUAAGCACCGGCUAACUCCGUGCCAGCAGCCGCGGUAAUACGGAGGGUGCAAGCGUUGUCCGGAUUUAUUGGGUUUAAAGGGUGCGUAGGCGGUUUAUUAAGUCAGUGGUGAAAGACGGUCGCUCAACGAUUGCAGUGCCAUUGAUACUGAUAGACUUGAAUACAUUUGAGGUAGCUGGAAUGGAUAGUGUAGCGGUGAAAUGCAUAGAUAUUAUC
rnacentral:rRNA from 1 species